GGAGCGGAUGACCAGCAAGCUGGGGGCAAAGCAGUGAGGCGCUAGGAAGACGCCCCAGGGGAACAAGCCACAAAGCAGCCAAACGCACACAUAAAGCACACGGCACCGACACCGCUUGCCUUGGCCAAGUCACUUAAACUGACUGUGCCUCAUUUUCCCCUGGGUCGUCAUGGAGAUGAAGUGAACGUGUGCACCAAGCCCUAGACGUCCCUAGAUGCAUCCCUAGAACGGCACUUGGCACGGAGUAAGUGUUCAAUAAACGCUAUAGUCCCUGCUAUUA